GCCCAGCCCACCAUCUGCAUCUGCUAUAUGUUUUUUUCUUAUCUUUCUCCUGCAUCCAGCGCCUCAUGCCCUAUUCCAUCUAGCUCCUAGUCUCGAAGUCGACUGGUCUUGCCUGCUCCUCCUCUGUUGUGUCUGACCGACGUUGUUUCCUGCUUUCCUCUUCUUCCCAUCGAUUCAAGCUUUUAUAGCUCCCAAAACUGCUGCUUGUGCUAGUGUGCUUCGCCGCCAUUGCCUCUUGUGUUAAGCUGAGUUUUUGGAGCUACCAAUAUGUGACUUAAGCUGAUCGCAAAUUCGAUAAGCAACUUUAGUUUUAUUACAGCUUAGCUUCUAAUUCUGAAGCAGGAUUUUCUUAAUUUUCUGCUGGUUUUUCUUGUUGGUCUCAUUUUCAGGGGAAUUGAAGAAUCAUAUUCCAAUGAAGAUGUUUCUGUUUAUUUGGUGGAGACUCCUGCUUGCAGGCAAACGAGAGAGCAAAUCCAUGAAUUUAUGGAGAAGUAUAAGACAUACAAACUUGCAAAAGCUGAGAUCCUCAAUGUCAUCAACGUUGCACCUCGUGAAUUAGUUGAAAUUGACCCGGAUGCACUCCACAAAUAGACUGAUGCUUUGGCUGUCUAUUUUUUCAUCAAAAUGGCCUGCUUUGUUUUAAGGCUGGAGCUAGAAAUAACUAAGGCUUUAAGCUAAAAAUGGUGGCAAACAUAUUGUAAGUAGGGAUAUCAGUUCCCUUGUGCGUGUGUGUGUGUGUUUGUGUUUGUGUCUGUGUGUGUGUUUUUUUCUAUUCAUUAUUUUAAUUAAGUUUUAUGGUAAAAGUACUGGUAUAAACCACAAGUGGUCUCUUAACACCAUCAAAUUUUGGAAAUUGGCAAGGUAGAAAGUUAAGAACACUUAAGUUUGAAAAUUAAGAAACUAUGUUGUAAUGCUUUUAAUUAAAUUUAUUAAAAAACUGAAAAAUAGUUUAGACGAGUCAUAUGGCAAGGGCAUGGAAUAAGUUAAGAACACUUAAGUUUGAAAAUUUUUAGUGCAGGACUCCUAAUGAAAUGUAUCAGCAAUCUAGAAUAAAAAAAAUGAACUUGAUAUUUAUCUUGGGAGUAUGAACAUAUUUUUAUUGUCACCACAGAAUACUGUAAUCCAAUGAUUUGACACUUUUGCUAAUUAAUAGCCAAUAUCAAUAUGAACCUAUCCUAGCUAUGAGGUCUGGGUCCACGCUAGGCUCAGAUAGAGUUGAAAAACGAGGUUGUGAGGAGAAAUGCCAAUGCGGAUUUUUAGAAUAUUGAGAAAUUUAAGAAUGGCUAUGGAAUAAACUUUCAAAAUUAAGGUGUUCUUGUAAUCUUUUCAAAAUUAAGGUUAUAUACUAUAUAGAGCACAAUAACGUUGUGGAUGAUGGAAACUAAAGCUACAUCUGAUGGGUGAAAUUAUCAAAGUCCAAAAGCCAUAAUUGAAAAAUAAAUGUUGUGUGUCUAUUUGCAUGUCCAAAUGAUGUGUAAUAUAGAUUGCAAUACUCUUGCUAUCAAAUUUGUAUGAGAAUCACCUUUUCUGAUUCGCUAUGUAAUCAUUAAUUAUUAGAUAAUAUAUUUCAUUCUCCAAUGUAUAUAUUUGCUAGUUUUAUAUGUAUGUAAGGUCACAAUAAUUUGUAUAAAAUCUACAAAUUCGAUUUUCUUCUCAAUUCUUGAUUAAUAAAAUUAUGAUUUUGAUUCUAAAUUUGACAACUUAGGAAUUAAACAGAUUCAAACAAAUCAUGAUGUAAAAAUAACUAUUAGACAGGAAAGAUUGGGAUCCAAAAAAAAUCAUAGAUACCGCUUUUUCUAUGCUUGAGAAAUGCUGCAUCCUGUUUGAUAAGAUUUUCUGCAUGUGUACCAGAGAAGCCAUAGUUGUUCCCUGAAAUUGUAUCAUAUUAUCCAAUAAAAAGGAAAGGAAAGCAUGUAGAUGCAAAAUUGAAUAUCACUACUGUCAAAUUCUUAAGCACUAUAUCAUAACGACAUUAGCUGUGCAAGAAGGGGUUGGGGGAAUGAAUAAAAAGAAGAGAUCGCUUUGCUUCGACAUGGGUUAUAGUAGCAGCAGUAAUUGCAAAAGGAUUAAUUAAAACACUAGGAAAUAUAGGUAGUUUGAAUAAGCAGCGGAGAAACUACUAGAAAAGGAUAUAUAGACAGAGAGAGUUUUUUUUUUUAUUAUUAAAGGAUAUAUAGAUAGAAAAGGACAAUAGUAUAAUCUAAUUAUAAUAGUGUCAAGAGUAAUAAAUUAGCAAAGAUAAAUUAUAGAAGGCCAAUGGAUAGAGAAAGUGCAGAAUGAAAGUUUGGACAAUUGAUUGCAGAUGCAAUAUAAUCUAAAUGCUAGUGGAAGUACUAGCUAGAGUGGUCAAAGGACCAAAUCUGAGUAGCAUAGACAAGUGAUAACGUGGUAGAAACUCUGAAAGAUAUAGUUUGCAGGUACAGCUGUCAUGUUAGGAAGAAGAAUGGAACCAGGGAUAGAAUAGUCAAGUUCUAUUUUGGGUAAGACAAAGGAGAUAAACGGAAGGACAACCUGAAGAGCGCAUAAUAAAAGGAACAAAGUUAAGAUAUAGGGUAGGCUAAGUGUUAUUCUUGGCAAGGUGAAUGACAAGGAUGGAAAACCCAAAAUGGGACCACAUUAGUGAGAAUAGUGAUGGAGGUAUGGAAUAACAUAAUAAUGAGUAAAUGCUAGAAGGUGUGCGAUGGUAUUGCGGACUACCUAAUUAGGUAGAGAAAACGAAGUUAGUAAGUAGUAAGUUGAUUAAAGGUCAAUCUAAGGGAUCAAAUAGUUAUGAUGAUAGGAAAAGAAUGAUAGAUAAUGAUACAUAUGCUUAGUUUAGACUUUUGAGAUAGUGAUAAGGUAGUUAGAGGUUCGUUAUGAAUCUCAGGCAAACAUUGUUAGUGUGAUCAACAGAAUCACUUUGUAGUGAAGCAAUAACGACAGGACAAUAGUAGGGGUAGAACGAAAAGUGACAAGUCUGGGUGGUUAUAAAUCACUAGAAAGUUCAAGGAUCAAAUUAAUGACCCUAAAUAAGGGUAGAAUUAGUGUUGGAAGAAUUUAUUAGUGAGAGAAAUAUUUCAGGAAUCAACAAAAGUUAAGGACACAACAUAAACGAUGAUAGAUAUGAAUCAUAGGUUGAGUAUAAGUAAAGUUAAUAAAUUAUAAAAUAUUAUGUCAGGAAGGAAAAUGGUACGGUAAAGGGUUCAUGCAGAUGAUACCUUAGAGGUAGAGCACAAUUGUGCUAGGGAUGAUGAAAUUUGAAGGGAGAGACCAAGGAACAUAGGUUAAACAUUAUUAUAUGGACAAUCGGGCGUAGUUGAAUAUAAGAGGAUAUUUUUCUUUCUUUUCAAGUUUAGCUUGUGCUUUUGGUUUUAGAAGGUUAUAUAAGGAACAGAGACUGAGUCAAGGAGACCUAGUUAUUUGAGAGUUUGGUAGGCACCAAUUCAUAUACAAUUUCCUGAUAUGAGAAUGACAGUAAGUGCAUACCUAGUGUUAAGUAUGAAAGGACGAUCAGAGUAAUGACAAGAGUUAAAUUGAGUUAGCUACUAAGGCUUGCAACUGUUUUAAACUAUGAGCUAGAGGAAAUACUAUUUAUGGAUGAGUUUCAAUAGAUGAAAUUGUUGCUGAUGGAUAAUUUGAGGUUGAAGUUUAGAAAGCUAUAGGCAGUAUAUGUGAUUAUAUUAAGGAGAAUGAACACAUGAAGUAUUUUGUUUAGAAUUAAGGCAUGGCACACAUUUCCCAUAGUCGUGUUAGUUCAUAUGGAACUUAUAGUUCUGGGGCUCAUAUCCAUCCAGGAUAAACAAUUUCCUACUAAGGCUGGUAGGGAAUGAUAAUGUUUUGAUAGUUAAGUUGGGAAAAGGGGGAUACAAGGAAAAUUUUCUGUGGUUAAUUACAAGUGUUACAUAAGGUGAAGAAUGUGCUGGUAGGAGUAAAUCGUAAGGUUAGAAUUCCUGAAGUAAUAGAACUAGUAAUCAAGAUAAGACUAAGAAACAAAAUGAAAGUUAAAGUUGAUGAUGGGAUAGACAUCUUUGAAGGAAAAGGUGUAAGGAUGAGAUAGGACUAAAAUUAAGGAAUAAGUACAGCAGGUUGAAAAGAUAUCAACAAUACCAAAAAAAAAAAAAAAAAAAAAAAAGGAAAA